rnacentral:pre_miRNA from 1 species
UAACAUAUAUGUAGCAUAUCCACAUAUAGUUGUGUUAGACUCAAAUAUAAUUGUUCAGAAUCAUCCGUUGUCACAAACUCAAUUACAUCAUUAACACUUAUAAGACAUGUUUGAAAAAAAUAAUUCACAAAAUCAUAGUUUUUGUA